UCACAAUCAAGUUUAAUAUUCAAAUUCUGUAACCUUUUACAAUAAACAAAUAAACUAUUUAUAAGCUACUUGGGUUAGCCGAAUGGUCAAAAGAUACAAGACUUAAGUAUUAAGAAAUUCGGCUAUAAAUUAAGUACAUGAACUUCCCUAGUGACUAUGUCUAUUUUCGGCUGUAGAGAAGAUUCAAUGGACAGCUUUAGAGCUUAGAAAAUGAACUUGGAACUUGGUGAAUGCAUGGGAGGCCAAUGGACAUGUCUAGGUUCGUCCUUGGUGUGAAUGUCCCCUCCAAUAGAUGCUUCUUGGCUAAAUAAUCAAAUAAGAAACCAAUAGCCAGCACACAAUGCAUGUAGGUAAGCAUUCAUGAACUCUCCCAUUCGAUGUAGCUAAAUAUGCAUGCACCUUCCAAUUCGUUGCACCAUAUUGUUCACGUAGGUAUAUUUGGCUCCAAUUCAUGAAUGUGGCUAAGAAUUAAUGUAGAUGCUGCUCCUUGGUCGAAUAGUUACUUUGGAAAGCUAUGGGACAACCGCCGUUCAUUGUAGGUGGUCAUUCAUGUAUCCGUCCGUACUUUGAAUCCAACCAUGUAUGAACCUCCCUCCAAAUGAACCUAGCUAUACAUGCACCAGGCCAUAAAUGAAAUUCCACAUGCGGUUGUACCUACAUAAAUAAUAAACACAUCAAACAUAUAAUAAAUAAAACUCAUAAUUAAUUAACUUAACUAGUGAUUAAUUCAACUAGCUCAAAAAUGACAAUUAACGUAUCAAGCUGAUUUAAGCUAGUAGAUUCGGUCAUGAGCUGUAGUAAAAUGAUUAAAAUAAAACUAAUGAUUAAUUAUUGAAAAGUAUAAAAAGAAAUGAGCUGAAUGUAAGUUCAAAUGAGCUCAACGAGUUGCAUUAAGUUCCAAUGAGCUGAUUGGAGCUAACAGCAAAUUGAGGAGCUGGAAAUGGGCUAAGGUUAGCUCGCACGAGAAUGUAUGGACUUGUUGGAAAGUUGAGCACAACUCCUUCUUCGUCUUUGAGUUGAUUCUCACUCCAAAAUUUAAUGAGUAAAGCCGAAACAGCUUCUUAGAAGAGCUUAGCUCGAGCUCUAGUCAUGGGCCCUUUUGGAAGCUCAAUUGGUGCUUGGCUAGUCUUCGGUAAGCUCCCUAUCAUGCUUAUAUCAGUAUGUGGGCAAUCCCUUAGUACAUGUAAACCAUCCUCAUCACCAUGGCCACACAGGAAGAAUGAUUUGUCUUGUCCAAUCCCCUUCCACACCCUUUCAUAAUUGGAUAAAAGUCUCUGUUUUAAAACCAACCAAAUAAACUACCUUACUCUCUAAGGUCUUGGGGUUUUCCAUAUGGUGUUCCAGAUCCCAUCCCUUGGGUUCCAAGACUCAUCCCUAAGCAUCUGAUAAGCACUUUUAACAAAAAAAAGACUUCUAACGUGGUAUGAUACUAGGAUAGAAAGUCUGGGCUAACUAAUUCCAUAAAGGGUAGAAUACUAAUGAUACAUCGGACAAUGUCCUUUGGUAACCAAACCCAAAAAAUUUCAAGGUUCCAUAUGCCAUUUCCAUUUAUCAUCUCAUGCAUUUUACAAUCAGGGUUAAUGUUCGUAUUUCCUGGAACAUGUCUACUCAAAGGACCCAUGUUAGGAAUCCAAACAUCAUCCUAACAGUCAACAAUAUGCCCAUUACCUAUUGACCAGAUUAUGUUAUCACACAUCAAAGGCCAUACUUUAGCAAUGGAUUUUCGCAUAAGGAACUUUUACUUCUGUUUAUCCAAAUCGGAAUGUCUUCUUUUAUUCUAUUCUUUACUUUGAAAACCUGCACCCAUAAGGCGUCAGUCUUAGUGAAAACAUUGUAACUUAGUUUCAUCAUGAAGGCUUUGUUUUGAUCACAAAAACGACGAAUUCCAAUACCUCCACAAUAUUUAGGUUGACAAAUUUUGUUCCACCUAACUAAAGCCAUUUCCUUUUACCUUUCGAUGCACCCCAAAUAAAUUGUCUUGCCAUUUCUUCAAUUGAAUCACAAAUACCUUUCGGAACCAUCAUAGACUGCAUAAGAUAGCUUAGAAUAAAAAGCAGAACUGAUUGUGCUAAAGUGACCCUCCCCGUAAAAGAGAGUUUUUUAGGAUCCCAACUAAAGAGUCAAUUUUGGACUCUUUCCACCAAGAAAUCCUGAGUACUCUUACUCUUUGGUGAAGAAAGGGAACCCCCAAAUAUUUUCCCAAUCUCACCUCGUAAAUCUUCCUUGACACUUGCGAAGUAAAAGAUGUUGGUUUUCCUAGCAUUGACAUUAUGGCUCGAAUGUUCACAAAAAUUACCCAAAAAGCCUUUAAGAAGACCACAAUGCUUCAAAUUCGCUUUGCUGAAAAUCACUAAAUCAUUUGCGAAGAAUAAUUCUAAUAGAUCAGGACCUCUACGCGAUAACCAAAUAGGGUUCUGCUCUCCUAAUGAGAUAAUCGAAUGAAAACGGUGCCCCAACCACUCUAUAAAUAAGACAAAUAGAUAUAAAAGAUAAGGGACAUCCUUGACGAAUACCCCUAACAGCCUUGAAUUUGGAAGUUGGGGCACCAUUCUACAAAACCUGCAAGGUAGAUGAUGAAAUAGCAUUCAUAAUAACAUGUGUUAAAAAAAAUAGGAAUACCUUCUACCUUGAGUAAUGCUUUUAUGAAAUCCCAACGAACUCUAUCCUAGGCUUUCUUCAAGUCAAUCUUGACGACUAUCAAUUGGGGAGUCUUCUUGGUUUUCAUGGAAUGCAAUACUUCUUGUGCAAUGUUCACGUUAUCAAUAAUACUUCUCCCUACUAUAAAUCUCGUUUGUUCUUGACUUAUAAUCUUUAGAAAAAUACUCCUGAAUUGGUUUCCAAUAACCUUCAUAACCAAUUUAUAAUGCACCGAACAAAUGCUAAUGGGUUUGAACUGCGUGAGAUGUUCAUGAUUAGGAAUUUUGGGAAUUAAGACAAAAAUGGUAUUGUUGAGCUCUGAUUUUAUAGUACCUCUUUCAAAGAUCUUCCUAACCCAAUUGCAAAUGGCUCCACCUAUAUUAUCCUAUUAGUUCUGAAAAAACAAGGCUUGGAAACCAUCACUUUCGAGCGUUUCAAUGGUGCCGUGUUGAAGAGAGUAGUCUUGAAUUCUUCAUUCAUGACAUUCCUUUCAAGAAAAUCAAUAUCUAUAUAACCAAGUUGCGAGAAAGCACUUACAGGCAGAUUACCUAUUAGGCCUGUUGCUUCUCCAUAAAGAUUCUAGAAGAAAUCGACUGCAUCUGAUUUAAGGGCUUCAGGAUCAAGAAUCCAUUCCCCAUUAGAAUUACACAAAGAUGUUAUUCUAUUAAAAUUUCUCCUCUAAACACACGCCUGUGAAAGUACUUAGUGUUUCGGUCCCCCAACUUCAACCACUCACAUUGUGACUUUUGCCUCCAGAGCAUCUCAUGAUGAAGGGUAUUUUCUAGUUCCUUUCGAACCUCCAAUUCACUUUGGACUAGAGAAUUAGAUCUAGAAACAUCCAUAGAAUGUUGUAUUUUUGAUAAAUUAUGAAACAAUUGCCUUUUAUGGUUAUUAAUAUGACUAUAAAUGCACUUGUUCCAAUAUUUGAGCUUAUUAGUAAAACCAACAACCAUGGUAUUCAUAUUCCCAUCAAAAUUCCAAUUAUCCCUUACGAAUUCUAAAAAAUUUGGAUGUUGUAACCACCUUUCUAAAAAUAAAAAAAAGGUCUUCCUUUUUUAAAAGAGGGCUCCUACUGUAACUUUAGGAGCAGUGGCCAAUAAUCCAAUUUAAUUCUUGGGAGGUGAGUAACAAAACAGUUGGGAAAGGUCUCCACCCAAGCUUCAUUCUCUAGUGCCUGAUCUAGCCUCUCAAAAGGUUACAUUGAUGCCAAGUGAAAGGGGGUCCUCUAAAUCCCAUGUCAUAGAGUUUGCCUUUAUCUAUAAAAUCACCAAAAAAAGAAAAGAACAUUUUCGUCCUCUCAUAUGACCGCCUUUUUUAUCAUUCGAAGAGAGAAUGGCGUUAAAAUCUCCAAUGGCCAACCAUGUAGAAUGCCUAAGCGGGAUAAACAGACUCAGAUCCCUCCAAAUAAAUUUCUUUUUUUGUCCAUCGAGACUUCCAUGCACAAAAGCAAUAAAGAUCAAAUGUGGUUGGAUAAUGGAGCAAAUGUGAACUAGGAUGAAUUGAGGAUGAUUUUUAAUCACUUUCAAAUCGAUAGAUUCUCUCAAUCCUAACCAAAUACCACUCGAAAAGCCAACCGCUUCCACUCGAUGAGAUUUUGCCAAAUCCAAACUAGCAAUGAUAGCGUUGGCUUUAACCCUACUAACUUUUAGCUCAAGAAGACUGACUAUGUCCGAUUGAUAUUGUUUACGGUACUCACGAAGUACUUGCGGGAAUUUUACAUUCGUACACCCUUGUACAUUCCAAGAUAAAAUAGAUAAAUCCAUAUUAAAAAGAAAAGAAAAAAAAACUUAUCUUACUAUCGACCAGAGGCAACAAUAUCUGGCUUCUCCCCCUCUUUUACUGACAUAUCCAUAGUAGAUUGCCUGCUUAAAUAUGAUGAAAUGAGUUCCGCUGUUGUCUUCAUCGAUUUAGCGAAAGAAACACAAGAACUACCAGAGGCCUUGAAUCGGUUACCCAAGCCCUUUAGAUUUUAUUUAUUUUCCACCCUCCUUUUGAACUAAGAGUUUUGACUUCGCUCUCCUUAAAUUUACUUAAAGGCAAUUGAUUUCUAGAAGUAGUUGAACUGCUCCCAACCGUCUUCCUAGAAAAAUUAUGUUGGGUGUUGUCCUUAAAGAUUACGGCGAUAUGAUUAUUGGCAUUCAAAAUACCCUCAUUCACUAUUACAUCUACCAUGGUCGCUUCCUCAAAAGUUGGGUUGAAAUGCAGUGAAUGCUUUUUUUUAAAUUGAUUUGAUUUUGAAAGAGCCAUGUCCACACCACCUGUAUAAAAAUCAGCUAAAACAAUAGAAGAAGAUGACAAGGGAACGAGUUUACCUGAAACAAAUGGUUGCUAGGCCUUCGCAACGUUGUCUAAAGACACACAGUCUUCUUCUGUGGGAUCCAUGCCACCUGAAAUAGAUGGCUGGUGGGCCUUCGCAACAUUGUCCAAAGACAUGCAGUCUUCUCUUGUGGGGUUUGAUGAAUUCAUGCCAAUUAAAUCUUUGAUACUCGAAACACUAAAUGGCCCAAUGUCGUAGCCCUUUCUCGUGACAAGCUUUGCUAAUAGGUUAACCAAAUGGUCCAGUCCAACAAUGCACCUAGAAUUCUUUUGGCGCUUUAACUGAUUUUUGUAUUUGGGCUUCCUAACCUAUCCAAAAUUAAUAUCCCCCACCCUCUGUUUCGUGUAUUCUUUGCUUUCACCUACAACAACAUGAAAUUGUCUUGUUGAAGGGUUUUCAAAAUUUUCAGUCAAAAUCCCUUUCCCAUGCCUUUUUAAAAUUGGUGUAGAUUCCUUUUCAAUACUUUCUUCUAUGAUUUUAGCCUCUAGACUAGCCAAAGAUUGAAAUCAUGAUCCCAUAGAUUUUCCUUCUAGUCUGGACUUUCUAAUUUUGUCAUAUUCCCGAAGAGUGCGUCUAGAUCUUCUCUCUUCCAACAUCCAAGGGCCAAAAUCCAUUUUUUGAUUAAUUCCGGUCAUUGGGUCCAUUACCUUUGAUAAGCGAGAAGGGAGUGAAGUAUAAGGACAAGACUCAUUGUUGUGCCCAUAACGUCCACAAAAGAAGCACAUCACCAGUAGGCUUUCGUACUCUACUCUUUGAAGAUUUCCAUUGAUUAGUACUUUUGAGAUCAAAGGCUUACCGAGGUUUACAUAAACUGCCAUACACGCAUAUCGUACCCUUACUUUACUAUCUAUAUUAAAGUCUAACUUAGGGCUAGUUUGGAUGGGCGGUGUGUUUGCCUCCGGUGAGGUUAAAAACAGCGGUGGCGGUAAGGUUAGUUACUAUAGCGGUGAGAUUGGAUACUGUAGCGGUGAGAUUAGAAACAGUGGUGGAGUGUGUGUUUGGAUUCAAACGCAGCUGUAGCGGUGAGGUGAGAAUAAAAAUGACUAUUAAUGACAUCAUAUUAGAAUUGAUAUAUAAUAGAAGUUUUUUAAAUUAUUUAAAUUUGUUAAAAUUAUUAAAAUAUGUGAAUUUAUAAAUUCAUUUAAUAAAAUAUUAAAAUGUAUCUUCCAAUAUUUUAAUGACUUAUAUAAUUAAUUUAAAUUAUUUAUUAGAUAAAAUGAUAAUUAUUUUUAACUUUUUAUAGUUAAAUAUUUUUUUAUAACAAUGUUAAAUAUUAUUUUUAGAAAUAGUAACAUUAUACUUGGAUCAAAUUUUAAAGUAUCUAAACGGAUAAAUUUUAAUAAAAAAAUAGUAACAUAAGACAUAACAAGUUUCAUUAUUACUAGAAAUUAGGUUAUGAUACAAAAUGUUUUUACAAAUAUGGAUUCAUUAAACUAGUUGCAAUGGUUUCCCUUAACAUUGUGAUUUCAAGGUCACUUUCUCUAUUAGAAGAACUCGAUUCACCUCUGUCAAACUGGCUUGGAAAGACUGGCAUGUCGGGUAUAUUCUCAAAUUCUCGAAAAUCCUCAUCAUUUGACGAAGCAUGUCUUCGAAUGUAAUUAUGCAAAACCAUUGUUGCAAUAACUAUUAAAACUAGUUCGCUUCUUUCUUUGUUUAAUUCUCUCUUUUUUUUCUGAUACUUUUUUUCUGAUUAUUUGAAAUUCAAUGUGAUUUUAAUAUAGGAGCAAGGCAGUUUUUCAUUUAUUCUUCUUUUUCUGUUAUAUUUUUGUGAAUAAUAUUUGGUGAAUAUGUUUUGAUCUCUGUUGUAAUUUGUUAGAUUUAAUCAUAUUCGUUUUUUAUGUAAAAUUUUGUGGAUUAAUUAAUGGAGUUUUUUAUAAAAAGAUAUGUAGGCACGAAUCUUUCCUAGCUUUGCUAAAAAAAGUAUGAGGCAUUGGUUAUAUUCAAUUCCUCAUAUGUUGAUAGAUUGGUGGAUUGUUAUAUUGAAAUUGUAUCAAAUCCAGUGGUUCUAUGUUCUACCUUCACGCUACUGAGUUUGCAGCAAAUUUUUUGUUUGGUAUCCUCAUUGGAUGCUCCAACUACUGAAAAUUCGAGGUGGGAAUGGUGUUUAUGCUUUCAGUGGCAUCAUGUAUGUCUUGUAUGGGUUUGAUUGUGUCUGAUUCAAGUCUUAUUUGUUCUAUUGAAUGCUUUAUACUGACAUUCAUGUGUGUCUUAUAUGGUUCUCUUAUAUUAUGAUAUUGCAUGUGGUGAUGUGGUUCCAGUGCAGUUAAAGCACACUAGUUCUUAACAGAGGAAAGCUGGGAUACUUUUAAACAUAUUUUUUAUACCAACAUGCUUGAAGCGUCGAAGGUAUUGGUAUAAGUAUUCAUUUAUUCUCUUGACAUUGGAUAUCAAAAGAUUAUUGGGCACAUUUGUGAGAGAACGAAUAUGCAUUUCCUCUAAUAUUAACUUGCAGUUACUCUUGUUGCACUAUCCUAUCUCUUGUUCUUGUGGUAUUUAUGUUGGUUAUGAAUAUAACUUAAGUGAUUUUAGUCUAAAAUUUGUAUGUUCAUCAGUUUUUUUGGGAGUUAAUCAGACUCAUGAAACUUUGGGCCAAUGGUGUGUUGUGUUCAUGUCAUUCGGGGUGAAAGAUAUGGAUUUGGGGGAAGAUGUUGAUGCUGUUGAUGGUGGUUUGUAGUAUGUGAGAAGAGCGAUAACUAGUUUUCAUUCAAUUGUGGUAUGUUUUAUCCUUAAAUAAGUCACUGCGCCUGGCAUUUAAGUUUCCUGCUUUACAUCAUUGACAGGAAUGGAUCGAGGCAUAUGGGGGCAGUUUACUCCUCAAAACGAUUUAUAAGGCGAGUGUAAGUUCGAAAUGACUAAAUGCAAGUCUCAGCAGCUGGUAAUUUUAAAUACCCAGUUAUGCAGGUUGUGAAACUCUCGGAGUGCGAAAUUUAUAGUUAUAAUCCAGACUCUGAUGCAGAUCCCUUUCUGAAGAAAUGAUCAAUGUAAGUGUGUAUUAUAUUAAUGCUUUAGUGAGUAGUCAGUGGGCCAUAAUUGUUCAGUAACUGUUGUGGAGUUAUAUUUUCAAAUGGUCAUUCAGUUUCUUCUUCUACAAUAGAAAACUAAAGCGUGUAGUGAGUUUAAGCUUUUGCUGCUUAAGGUGGGUCUAAUUGUGUUAUGUGAUAUUUAUAGUUAUGUACAAGCUUCCAUGAUUAUCUUUAUGCCUCAUUACCAUAUAUUGUCUCUUGCAGUAACUUAGUGGUUGAUGGUUUUGCUGCUGACUACUUGUCUUACGAGGAAGAUGGUGAAAUAUUUGAUAACAUGGAUAUAUGAUCACUUGCAUACUGCUUGUACAAUGUGUCAAUACCUUUUGACAUCAGUCUGCACUUAGUUAUGUUCUGUAGCAUAUUUUCUACUUUGCUGUGUAUAUGUCGUUUAUUUUACCCAGACUCAGAUUUGUUCUACCUGGAUAUGUUGUCUUUUAAGUGUUUUCUUACCCAGAUCCAUUCUUUCUAAUAAAAUCUCAAAUUAUGUUUCCUAUUUUAUUUAAAUGGGUUCGGUUUCUCCCCCUCUCCAUUUCUCCUACUUUUUGAACUGAUACUUCUUUCAGGAAAAGGAAGAAAAAAAAUCCUUGCUUCCUGUUUGUUAUAUAUAAAAUCUCAAUUUUGGAAGUAGUUGUGAAAUUUGUUUGUUAAAAGGCCGUAGAUAAUAUUCUACCUGCCUGUGGGGAAAGAUGACAAAUAUUCUCCACAAAUUACAAACAGUUAUCUUUCCAUAGGAUUUAAGUAGUUUGGUUGGAAAGAAAAAAAUAAAUUCGCCUUUGAAAUUAUCUAAUAGUGCUACCGGGUGGAUACUUGUACACUAAUCUCUGACAAGUAUUUAGGAGUAUUGGAAUUUGAAAAUUGCAGAGACUAGCUCAGCAUCAGCCAACACAGUACCCAACAUUGGAAGAACUAAGCAUAGGAAUGAUCAAAUUCAAGGCCUUUGAUUUGGGUUGUCAUCAGAUUGCUCGUAGGGUCUGGAAGGACUAUUACGCCAAGGUAUUUGCAUUUAUGUAUGUGUGUAUAUAUAUUUUUCAAUAAGAAACCAAUUAAAAAAUUCAAGUAUUAAUCAAUUGUUAUCACCAGUUUAAUAAGAAACAUGUUAAUGAAUGGUUGGAUGGUAAAAAGACUCAAAAGACAACAAAAUUUUGCCCAUAUACAUAUUUGCUUGGUUGUAUGCCAAUAUUUUUGCUGUAAUUUUGUGAUGAGAGAAUUUUGUUAUAUUUUACAAAGCAUAGGUCAUCUUUUAACAGGUAUGGAUGAAUUUGGUAACCUACCUAUGUGAUUGAAAUCAUUUUGGGAUAGUUUUAGCAUUUUUUAUAUUUUGAUAUAUUUUAGAAAUUAUUAAUAAUCAUUAAUAAUUUUAUUUUUAAUAACUUUCAUAGCUUUUUUUUAUUAAAUUUUAUUUUUUUUAAUGAUAAUAUUCCAAAAUGAAUUUAUACAUAUAGUUGUUUAGUCAUUUGUUCAAGUUAAUUAUGAAUGUGCAAAUUUUAUUUUUUUAAUGAUAAUAUCUUCUUGCACCUAGUAGGUUGGAUUGAUGCUAAGAGGAAUGGGAUAAAAUUCCUUUUAUUAGGUGAUGCAGGCCAUGACUGUUUGAUUUCUUUCUUCCCCAAAGUACCCAAAUUCCCUUCGAUAAAAGAAGGAAUUAUAAGAUCAUAUAUGUUUGUGAUAUAUGGUAUAUGGUAUAUGGUACUAACCCCCUCACGAUGAAGUUGUGUUAGGCAUGAAGUCAUAUAGCAAACCUGCUAAACUUGUUCAUAUUACUACAAGCUUUUGUUGUUUCGUUUGUUUAGUUGUGCUUUGUUUUGUUUUUGAUAGUUUUAGUUUUUGAGGGUUUGAGACAUGAAUACAGCAUUGCUGGAGACAUGAAUAUGGAUGGUAUUAUUACUGAUUUGUUUUUUUAUUUUAUCAGGUCUCUUUCAUUAGAUAAUAAUGUUUUAAUUAUGUUGAUUUAUAUAGGUUAGAAGGGAGAAAAUCAGUGAAAGAAUGAAGUAUCUGCAAGAUUUAGUACCAGGAUGUAACAAAAUCACAGACAAAGCUGGUAUGCUGAAUGAAAUCAUCAAUUAUGUUCAAUCUCUUCAACGGCAAGUAGAGGUAAAAAAAUAAUGGAGAAAGAACAUAUGGAUUUGUGUUUAAAGGAAAAACAGAAACUACUUUCAUACAAUUCAAACACAUAUAUAGAGUAGAAAAAGAAGGGUUUUCACUUACCAGAUCAAAGUUGAGAACAAGAUUGAUAGGAUGAGUAGAAAAAUAUAGCUUCUUUGAGAGUCUGCUCUGCUGUUA
rnacentral:lncRNA from 1 species